rnacentral:sRNA from 1 species
AGCGCCUUGCCUUCUCUUGGGCUUUGAAGCAUUUUUGUCUGUGCUCCCUGAUCUUCAGGUCACCACCAUGAAGUUCUUAGCAGUCCUGGUACUCUUGGGAGUUUCCAUCUUUCUGGUCUCUGCCCAGAAUCCGACAACAGCUGCUCCAGCUGACACGUAUCCAGCUAGUGAGUCUGCACUUGAAUGUCAUCUCUUUCCUGCAAUAACCAUUUUCCACUUCCAGCCUCAUGUCAAACAGCCAGUUUCCAUGUGGAUAGUCUUUGUUAUAAGGAAUCCUAAGCAAAAGUCUGUGAAAGCUAUAUUCCUGAUUUUCAAAUUCACCACAAACAUAGUGAAUCUGUGUAUUUCUUAUACAUUCUUAGAAUAUAUGAAAUAUAGGCCAUAGACUUAUACAAAUGUGGGCUUAUUAUUCAUUGUUUUCCAGCAUAAGGCACAAGAGCAUGAGGUCUGAUGUUGUAGCCUGAGAAUUUUUGAGAGAUGCCUCUAAUAA